AGGAGGCAAGUAUGAUGAAUAGUAAUAUGUGGGAAGAGAAAUAUCUCUUAUGAUUAACAUCUUGAUGCUUAUUGAUAUUCUGACUUGCCAUUU
rnacentral:snoRNA from 1 species